AGGGAAUGUUCUAUACCUGGCAAAUACUCCUUUUGGAGCACUUUGGAGUCCUAAUUCUUGGCCCAGCCCUUCCUCCUUCCUCGUGUAUCAAUGACAACAAUCUCUUCUGGAAACCUGGCUGCAGGGAGCACAUGCCAGCUUUCUGGUGACUGAUCUAAAAUAUGGAUGCCACAUCUAAGUUUUUGAAAACCAAGCAGCACCCUUUGCCAUGAUUUACAGUCUCUCUUCUUUGAAGCCCUGGCGUACAUCCUUCCUUGAUUUCACUUUAUUCACUCUCACUGAGUUGUUCAUUGAAAGCUCCCGCUGAAGAACCAUCAUCAUUGCUGGUGUGAAAAUGACAGAUGAGAGUGGUUAGAGUGAAGGCUGACCUUCCAGGAUUGUCUGCUAUGUGGACAAAGCAUAGCACUAGCACCACCUUUUCCAAAAGCAGUGAAAUUUAAUCUUGAAAAAAUCUGUUAUUUUAAAAAUGAGAUAAAUCUCAAAAGCUUCUACUUCUUCCUUUGCUUUUUAUUCUCUGAAAAGAUUAAUUUAAAAUAUCCUCCUAGACUACGUUUAUUGUGAACAGUC